rnacentral:rRNA from 1 species
GACGAACGCUGGCGGCGUGCCUAAUACAUGCAAGUUGAGCGCUGACUUUUGGUCCUGGUACCGACUGGAUGAGCAGCGAACGGGAGAGUAACGCGUGUGGGGUCUGCCUUUGAGCGGGGGGGAACAUUUGGGAACGAGUGCUAAUACCGAAUAAAAACUUUAAACACAAUUUGUAAGUGUGAAAGAUGCAAUUGCAUCGCGCAAAGAUGAACCCACGUUGUAUUAGCUAGUUGGUGUGGGAAAGUCUCACCAAGGAGAGGAUACAUAGCAGCCCUGAGAGGGGGAUCGGCCACACUGGGAUUGAGAGACGGCCCAAACCCCUACGGGAGGCAGCCGUAGGGAACCCUCGGGAAUGGAAGAAAGGGUGACCGAGCAACGCCGCGUGAGUGACGAAGGUUGUCGGAUCGUAAGACUCGGUUGGUAGAGAAGAUCGUUGGGGAGAGUGGAAAGCUCAGCAAGUGACGGUAACUACAGAGAAAGCGACGGCUAACUACGUG